AAAAAAAAAAAAAAAAAAAAAAAAAGAGGCAUGAAAUAAAUCUGGACAAACCAUUCUCCUAGAAGCUGAGAACUUGCCCAGUGCUACCCCCAGAAAUGGCCAAGUGUUCACAAAAAAGCUGAAUUUUCAAACACAGAGCAGAUAGGGGUGAGCAUUACAGCUUUAAAAGUUUCCGAAUGGAGUAAUGUACUGGGACUCUGUAUCGUGUGGUCAUCGGUUAUAAGCCAGUACUCAUGUUGGACGCUGAUUGCAUUGUACUGAUGCAAUCAGAUUAAAGCAACAGGUGGGAGGAUCUUUUUUCACUGGGAGAAAGGAGAAUGAAAUACUCUAAUGCACCCGUAUGGUGGAGUGCUGAGUACAACAAACAAGACAUCCUUUGAAGCUUUCUUCUUUUCAGUGAUUAAAAUCCCUGCUUAAAUUCUGAUGCUAUGCUUACCAAGAAAGCCACCGACUUUAAACAAUUCAUUUUCUGAUCUACAAUACUUCCAUCUUUCUCACUCAUCCAAAGACAUUCAAUUUCCAAUACAGUAUUUUGGAAGGAAAAAUCUUAAUGGAGUUCAGUAGCAUGCUUGAUGAAUGCACCCACAACUUUCCUGUCCAUGCAAAACCAUAAUAAUUGCUGCUAAGAAACUAGGUCGAAGAUGAUGAGCUUUCUGGUUCAUCAUGUGUUUGUUAACAACUGUGCUAAAAUGUUAGUUGUAGGUUGUGUCAGCUCGAUUUCCUUGGACAUCAAACUUUGUAUUGAUGGCAGUAGCAUGCUGCAGUUGACCUGGAUGGUCAAAGAUAGAGCACAGUGGAAGAACGGAAGUUGUGAUCAGCAUGCACAAAAUCAUUGCAGUUAUGCUGUUAGAUUUUUCUUCACAAACGAAAGGACAUGAGCCAGUAACGUGCCCUCACAGCCCAGAAAGCCAACCAUAUCCUGGGCUGCAUCAAAAGAAGUGUGGCCAGCAGGGUGACAGAGGUGAUCCUGCCCAUCUGCUCCGUAUUGGUGAGGCCUCACCUGAAGUACUGCGUCCAGAUGUGGAGUCCUCAGUACAGGAGAGAUAAGGACCUGUUGGAGCAUAUCCAGAAAAAGGCCACAGAAAUGAUCCAAGGGAUGGAACACCUCUCCUACAAGGACUGGCUGAGAGAGCUGGGUCUGUUCAGCUUGGAGAAGGCUUCAGGGAGACUGGAAAGCAGCCUUUCAGUGUCUAAAGGGGAGUUACAGGAAAGAAGGGGACAGACUCUUUAGCAGGGUCUGUUAUGACAGGACAAGGGGAAAUGGUUUCAAACUAAGAGAUUUAGAUUGGACAUAAGGAAGAAGUUUUUUACAAUAAGGCUGGUGAGACACUGGAACUUGUUGCCCAGAAAUAUGUUGGAAGCCCUAUCCCAGGGAAUGUUUAAGGCCAGGCUGGUUGGGGCUUUGAGCAAUCUGAUCUAACUGCAAAUGUUCCUGUUCAUUGCAGGGGAGUUGGACUAGAUGGCCUUUAAAGGUCCCUUCCAAUUCUAAGGGUUCUAUGAAAUACAUGCAUGUGUAGAUGGCUGUCAAACUUGACAUUAGUUCUUGAAUGUAAAAGACCGCAAAGUCACUCAAAAGAUUUAAGAGCUGUUCAAUAAAAUUAAUCAUCUGACCCAGAAACUGGAAUCAGAUAAUGCUUAAUGAACAUAUUAAUUAAACUCCAAGCAGCAAGUUUCCAAAUUACCAGUGUGGGUUGCACUUUUAUACUGCCUAGAAUAAUCUUUUUAAAAUAUUGCAUGCUGUCUGAAUGCAAUUAAAGAUCUCCAGAUAAGCUUAUGCUAUCGCCCCCUUGGAUUUGCUAAAACCUUCAUGUAAGAACAAAAGAGCACCCUAUGUAUGUAACUUCCUUGCAACAGACUGACAGGAUUGAAAAACAAACAAACAAACAAACAAACAGUAAAUACAUUGAUUAAUCAUUUUUGAGAUAAAAGUAGGAAGGUCUUGCUAUUUUUCUGUCUUGGUGAAAUAUUCUGAAUGGAAUGCAAGGCAGCAUGCCCCCUUCUGAAAUGGUGACCACUAAACAGGUAAUUAUUAAGAGGGUAAUUUCAAUUGGAUAGAGACAUUGUUAGCUGCAGCAGUAAACUGAAUCCUGAAUGUGUUUUACAUAGAAAAGCUAAGUUCAGACCUCUGAGGAAUCUCUAAUUGUCUAAUGAAAAAAAUAUAGAUUUCCUUUUCUAUUAUUAUUUUUAAUGUUGAGCUGCACGUCAGUAAUGCAACUGUGCAUGGACUUAAGUAGCAUUUGAAGUGAUCUAUAGGGACAUAGACUCCUCUACCAUUCUGCAGUACUUCCAGCAAUAUUCAUAAGGAAAAACAGACAAGUUCACAAAGCCUAUUCUUUCUCCUUUUCUUAUUAUUUUCUUAUUUCUUAUGGUCAACAACAUGGUCAACAUUGUCACCAUCAUAUCAUCAACAAAACAACUUUUUAUCUUUGGAAGA